rnacentral:RNase_P_RNA from 1 species
AAAGGGUGCGGUAAGAGCGCACCGCGCGGCUGGUAACAGUCCGUGGCACGGUAAACUCCACCCGGAGCAAGGCCAAAUAGGGGUUCAUAAGGUACGGCCCGUACUGAACCCGGGUAGGCUGCUUGAGCCAGUGAGCGAUUGCUGGCCUAGAUGAAUGACUGUCCACGACAGAACCCGGCUUAUCGGUCAGUUUCACCU